GGGGAGUUAGCUCAGCGGUAGAGCGCUUGCUUAGCAUGCAAGAGGUCAUGGGUUCAAUCCCCAUACUCUCCA
rnacentral:tRNA from 2 species